CCGUUCUCUUUUAAAAGCUCCUUCUGUACAAAGUUGUCGAAGCGGCAGUUUUUUUUAAAAUUAUUUUGUCAUUAUGGAUGUUUGGAGAAAGUUUCGCCCGUCCCACAACUUGUUUUGGUCCGCUUUCGUGGCGUAAAACUUGUUCGUGUUAUUAUAGCCAAUAACUUUACUGUUAGCUAGCUUCGAAAGGUUCGGUGGCUUUCCCAGCCAAAUCUCAGCCUUUCCUGUUUACUCUUGGACGGCAGGAGUGGAGCAGUUUGUUCCUGUGACUCGGCCUUGUCUAGUAACGUAUCUCACCAAUCUCCAAGGCCUCCAAAAUGUCGAUUUUAGGAUUAAAAAAGAAACAACCAAAGACUUUUAAGGUCAAAGUCAUCACUAUGGAUGCUGAAAUGGAGUUUAGUUGUGAGGUGAAAUGGAAAGGGAAGGAUCUGUUUGAUCUGGUGUGUCGGACAGUGGGUCUGAGGGAAACCUGGUUCUUUGGGCUCCGGUACACAGUGAAGGAUACCUAUGCAUGGCUGAAGACAGAGAAACGGGUCUUGGAUCAAGAGGUCCCUAAAGACUCGCCGAUAACGUUUCACUUCCUGGCCAAGUUCUUCCCAGAGAAGGUAGAAGAAGAGCUGGUGCAGGAAAUCACACAACACCUCUUCUUCCUGCAGGUGAAAAAGCAAAUAUUAGACGAGGAGAUUUUCUGUUCUCCUGAAGCCUCUGUCCUGUUGGCGUCGUACGCUGUUCAAGCCAAGUAUGGGGACUAUGAACCAAACUUUCACAAGCCGGGGUUCUUAGCCCAGGAUGAGCUCCUACCUAAAAGAGUUCUGAUGCAGUACCAGAUGACUGCAGACAUGUGGGAGGAGAAGAUCACAGCCUGGUACGCAGAGCACAGAGGCAUCGCCAGGGAUGAGGCUGAGAUGGACUACCUGAAGAUAGCGCAGGACCUGGACAUGUACGGAGUCAGCUACUUUGCCAUCACUCAAAAUAAACGAGACACAGACCUGCUACUGGGUGUCGAUGCCCAGGGCCUUCAUAUUUACAGCCCCAACAGCAAACUGAACCCCAACAAAUCUUUCCCCUGGAGCGGCAUCCGCAACAUCUCCUACAGCGAGAAGGAGGUAACCACGUUCACAAUAAAACCUCUGGACAAGAAAAAGGAUGUUUUCAAAUUCUACUCCUCCCAACUGAGAGUCAACAAACUGAUCCUGCAGCUGUGCAUUGGGAACCAUGACCUGUUCAUGAGGAGGAGGAAGGUGGACUCCAUCGAGGUACAGCAGAUGAAGUCUCAGGCCAAGGAGGAGAAGGCUCGCAAGAAGGUGGAGCGUCAGAUCCUUGCGCGGGAGAAGCAAAUGAGGGAGGAGGCAGAGCGAGCGAAGGAGGAGAUGGAGAGACGGCUGUUCCAGCUGCAGGACGAGGCACGGCUGGCCAAUGAGGCGCUGCUGCGUUCAGAGGAGACCGCAGACCUGCUGGCGGAGAAGGCCCAGAUCGCCGAGGAGGAAGCCAAGCUGUUGGCCCACAAGGCUGCCGAGGCAGAGCAGGAGAGGCAGAGGAUAGAGGCUACCGCCCUCAAGACCAAGGAGGAGAAGAGACUGAUGGAGCAGAAGAUGAGAGAGGCAGAGCAGCUGGCCGUCAAACUGGUGGAGCAGUCAGAGAGGAGGUCGAAGGAGGCGGACCAUCUGAAGCAGGACCUGACAGAGGCCAAGGAUGCUGAGAGGAGAGCCAAGCAGAAACUCCUGGAGAUCACCAAGACAUCUUACCCGCUCAUAGCGGCCUACUCCCCCCCUCCUCCUCCCCCAGAGGGAGGAGACCUAGCUCUGGGAUCCGGAUCGAUGAGGAUCGACUUUAAAGACUCUGAUAUGAAGAGACUGUCAAUGGAGAUAGAGAGGGAGAGACUAGAGUACGUGGAGAAGAGUAAACACCUGCAGGACCAGCUGAAGGAGCUGAAGUCUGAGAUUGAGUCUCUGAAGCUGGAGGAGCAGCAGCAGCAGCAGGCUGGGGUCUACAGCCUCCGCAAUGAGGCCCGCGGCUACCCCCCUGAACCACCCUACAUGCCCCAUAGUAAUGGUUGGUCCUUACAGGGGGAAUGGAGAAAAAUACAUCUAAUGUAUAAAUAAACAGACUUUCCAACAGUCCUGCGUGCACAAAAAAACAAGAACUUGUGGGGGACUUUUUCUUUUGAGAGAAACUCUGCCUACAUGGCUCAGAUGGCUUUUUUUGAAGAAGUGUGAUCCAACUGCCAUUGGAGAAAACAGGGGUAGGCUAAGUGCCAUUGGAAGACACGCAGGGAGGCGAGACAUUCGUUGUGACUCUUGUUCCUUAAUACCAAGAUAUGCCUACUUCAUCUAUCUAUGUUUUGUGCCUGACAAAAGGAGCACACUGACACACACACACUCCCAGUGACACUCCAGAAAAGACUGUGCUUUGGAAAGAUUUGUAUUCCUCAGAUGACACAACACUACACUACAAGUUUUCCUUCCAGUUUUCCGUUAUGUUUUAUUUGAUGCAGCCCUAGUUACACUGCCUGUGGGCGUAUAUUAUCAAAGACGGUGCUGUGUGCGUGUUCUGUGGAUGUAUUUUACUUCAAUGUUUGGUUUUUAAAGGGAUGCCUGGUAGAGUGUGAUAGAGAUUUGACUGAGGUAUUUUAUCCUAUAUUACUGACUCUACACUACAGUGUGCCUUUAGGGGAAUAUAAUCUCUCAGCGACCAGGAUCAUGUCUGUCAAGCUACCAGGCUUCAGGUGUGAUACCUUGCCUUCGUUGAAUAAUGUCUUACUUUACUCAGUUGUUUUAAUGUUGUAGCAUGGUCGAACUGAUCGUCUCCAGAGCAACAUGCAUGUGUCCUGCGUCACAUUAUGCCUCCUAACCAUUAUCAGUUCAAACUGUCAUUUCAACGGUUUUCUUUUUUUAGUAUUUUAGAGCGUUGCUUUUUAAAGAGUUUUCUUCACGUUACGAACAUUUAAAUAUGCAAUCCCUCGUUCACUAGUUCCUGUUAUGGAGCAUCCCAAAAGGCACCCUAUUCCCUAUUUAGUUCACUGCUUUUGACCAGUGCCCUAUUUAGUUCAUUUAGGGUGACAUUUGGGACGAUGACCUGCCUGAAUUGUCAAACACCUCUGGGGUGGGUUUAGCUCCAACACCUCUGGGGUGGGUUUAGCUCCAACACCUCUGGGGUGGGUUUAGCUCCAACACCUCUGGGGUGGGUUUAGCAGGCAGACAAGUCCACUUCUCUUCUGAUUUCUACGACAUCUUAUUAGUGCUUAGCUCAGAGGAAGAUUCCAUCUAGAAAAGUAGGUUAGACAUUCUGUAUAUGGAGGAGGAGAAGAGGGAGAGAGAAGGUGGUUUGUGCUUGUGAAGGAAGUAGGUUUUAGAUGUAAUAACUCAUGGUUAAGGGUUGGGGUCAAUUCCAUUUCACAUAAAUUAUCUGAAAAUAACAGACUAUAAUAAAAUUAUAAUGCCUAUUUGCUGAGUUGGAAUGGUCUGGACCCAACCUUCGCUGUGUUUUUUGAAUGGGAGCCAUGUCUUACAUGGUCAGAUAUCCUAACUAACAGAACACUGCUUGGCAGAUUAUGCAACAUUUUCAAGGUUGGGGGUUGGUUUGGCAUUUGUGUGGGUGCAGACACCUGCACGUACAGAGACACACAGCCAUGUAUUCAAACCAUGUGUCAAUAUCACAUUUAAACCCUACAUUUAUUAGUCAUUUUCAUUGUAACAUAAAUUAUUGUCAGAUCUGUUGUCAGAAUUUCCUCUAACCGAUGUCAGGUUUGAAUUGAAAUGGAGUUGUUUUGGAUGGCAAGAUGUCACACACACACUCUCAGCAUAACUGUUGUGUACAUGUGUUUUUCAUUUCUGAUGGUUAUACCUAUGUAUGUGUGUAGAAUAGUGUUGUUGGGUUUUACAAUGUUAACUCCUUUUGUUGUUUAUCUGAAGCUAGAAACUCUCUUUAAUGUUGUUGACUUAACCAUUCCUGCUUUUUCCAUCCUCUCCCCCAUAGCCUCCUUUCCCUCUCUCGCACUCCUCCUUUUUCAUGUGUUCAUCGGCUUUAAAAGGCUUAAGUGUCACAUCAGUUUGUUUUAAUAAUGACCUCAGAACUGUUCCAUAUCUAUAGGUUUACUGUAAUCACUCAUAUCUGUCCCAAGUGGCACCCUAUUCCCUAUAUAGUGCACUACGUUUGAUCAGUGCCAGCAUCAGGAUCGGGUCAAAGUAGUGCACUAUACAAGGGGGAAUAGGGUGCCAUUUGGGACACAGACACUAUAUGACUGUGUCUCAACACUCUGUCGUUGCCUCCUUUCCUUUUUAGAGGAUGGCAAGUAACCUUGCGGUUAGUUAGGCCAGUAAACGGCCGAAGAGGUCGUUGAUUCGAGUACCUGAGCCGACAAGGUGAAACAUUUGUCGAUGUGCCCUUGAGCUCCAGGGGCGCCGUACUACUAUGGCUGACCUUGUAAAAUACUACACUGGACUGUGUUUUUCUUCUUCACAACUUUGAUUCCGUACCUUUAUUGCCACUAGUCAAUUAGAGAGGUGGAGGUUUUCCUCCGUGUAGAGGUUUUCCUCCGUGUAGAGGUUUUCCUCCGUGUAGAGGUUUUCCUCCGUGUAGAGGUUUGUAGAGGUUUUCCUCCGUGUAGAGGUUCGUGUGGAGGUUUUCCUCCGUGUGUGGAGGUUUUCCUCCGUGUGUGGAGGUUUUCCUCCGUGUGUGGAGGUUUUCCUCCGUGUGUGGAGGUUUUCCUCCGUGUAGAGGUUUUCCUCCGUGUAGAGGUUUUCCUCCGUGUAGAGGUUUUCCUCCGUGUAGAGGUUUUCCUCCGUGUAGCUGUCACCUAUCAUGCCCUGCCAGAUCAGUGGCCAUAGAGGAAAGGACACAAGGGAAGGAAGCUAGUUAACACUAUUAAGACACAGUCAGGGAGGGACAUGCCAAACAAAAGCGAGUCACAAUGUCUGAUUUCUGAGAUUAAGUGUUUUGAGUGCUGUUUUUUUUGCAUUUUGUCAUAACUGAAUCAAUGUUGUCACAGGGCUUGGCUGUUGCUUAUAAAAACAAAUAUACAUUA